rnacentral:rRNA from 1 species
AUACGUAGGGGGCGAGCGUUGUCCGGAAUGAUUGGGCGUAAAGGGCGCGUAGGCGGCCUGUUAAGUCUGGAGUGAAAGUCCUGUUUUCAAGAUGGGAAUUGCUUUGGAUACUGUCGGGCUUGAGUGCAGGAGAGGUAAGUGGAAUUCCCAGUGUAGCGGUGAAAUGCGCAGAUAUUAGGAGGAACACCGGUGGCGAAGGCGGCUAUCUGGACAGUAACUGACGCUGAGGCGCGAAAGCACGGGGAGCAAACAGGAUUAGAUACCCUGGUAGUCCGUGCCGUAAACGAUGAAUACUAGGUGUAGGGGGUAUCGACUCCCUCUGUGCCGCAGUUAACACAUUAAGUAUUCCACCUGGGGAGUACGGCCGCAAGGUUGAAACUCAAAUGAAUUGGCGGGG